rnacentral:piRNA from 1 species
UACGAUUUAAAGAGAAGGAAC